rnacentral:lncRNA from 1 species
UUGCAGAUUGAUUUUAGUGUGCGGAUCCCAAUCAAGCGAUUUUAUUGCAAAAUCAGCUCCUAUGAGGCUCAAGAAAGAUUACAUGGUUUUUUACGUUACGAACGAUUAACUUCGGAGAGAUUAAGCAAAACAGGUCAAGAUAAAAAUAGAGAUGCGAUUAUUUACGUCUGUCAUUGACUACAGGUGUAGUAUGACGUUCAAGAUGAAGACAACUUGAAUACUUAUAUUACGGAGCUUUCUAAUUAUAACACUUUUUUUUCCAGUUAUACUUUCUGAAUACAAUUCUUUUAUGAAUGCCAUUACCUUCUGUAUAUCUUCUAACUAGUGCAGUUUUUCCUGAAAAGAGUAAACAGAAGAUUGUUACUGAAAGAAAGCUGUUCAAUCAGAAGAAGCAAACAAUAGUCGUGUUUAACAUGUAAACAGAAUUGUUCAGAUGCUACACAAUUUCUAAUGACGUGAACCUAAGAAAAGUUAACCAAUCAAAAGAUGAAAUCGCGAUGAAUUCACACGAUAUUGAAUGGAAACCAU